GCAUAACGCGAAGAACCUUACCUACUCUUGACAUCCAGAGAACUUAGCAGAGAUGCUUUGGUGCCUUCGGGAACUCUGAGACAGGUGCUGCAUGGCUGUCGUCAGCUCGUGUUGUGAAAUGUUGGGUUAACGUCCCGCAACGAGCGCAACCCUUAUCCUUUGUUGCCAGCGGUUAGGCCGGGAACUCAAAGGAGACUGCCAGUGAUAAACUGGAGGAAGGUGGGGAUGACGUCAAGUCAUCAUGGCCCUUACGAGUAGGGCUACACACGUGCUACAAUGGCAUAUACAAAGAGAAGCGACCUCGCGAGAGCAAGCGGACCUCAUAAAGUAUGUCGUAGUCCGGAUUGGAGUCUGCAACUCGACUCCAUGAAGUCGGAAUCGCUAGUAAUCGUGGAUCAGAAUGCCACGGUGAAUACGUUCCCGGGUCUUGUACACACCG
rnacentral:rRNA from 1 species